rnacentral:rRNA from 1 species
GACGAACGCUGGCGGCGUGCUUAACACAUGCAAGUCGAACGGAAAGGCCCUGCUUUUGUGGGGUGCUCGAGUGGCGAACGGGUGAGUAACACGUGAGUAACCUGCCCUUGACUUUGGGAUAACUUCAGGAAACUGGGGCUAAUACCGGAUAGGAGCUCCUGCUGCAUGGUGGGGGUUGGAAAGUUUCGGCGGUUGGGGAUGGACUCGCGGCUUAUCAGCUUGUUGGUGGGGUAGUGGCUUACCAAGGCUUUGACGGGUAGCCGGCCUGAGAGGGUGACCGGCCACAUUGGGACUGAGAUACGGCCCAGACUCCUACGGGAGGCAGCAGUGGGGAAUAUUGCACAAUGGGCGGAAGCCUAAUGCAGCAACGCCGCGUGCGGGAUGACGGCCUUCGGGUUGUAAACCGCUUUCGCCUGUGACGAAGCGUGAGUGACGGUAAUGGGUAAAGAAGCACCGGCUAACUACGUGC